GCUUCAUUAGCUCAGUGGUUAGAGCGUCGGUCUUAUGUACCGAAAGUCGAGGGUUCAAUCCCCUCAUGAAGCA
rnacentral:tRNA from 1 species